rnacentral:rRNA from 1 species
CGAAGGUGGCUAGCGUUGCUCGGAAUUACUGGGCAUAAAGCGCGCGUAGGUGGUCCUGUAAGCGAGGGAUGAAAGCCCAUGGCUCACCCAUGGAACUGUCCCUCGGACUGCAGGGCUGGAGGGCGGGAGGGGAGAAUGGAAUUCCCGGUGUAGCGGUGAAAUGCGUAGAUAUCGGGAGGAACGCCGGUGGCGAAAGCGAUUCUCUGGCCCGUUCCUGACACUGAUGCGCGAGAGCUAGGGGAGCAAACAGGAUUAGAUACCCUGGUAGUCCUAGCUGUAAACGAUGGGCACUGGGUAGAGGGGGUGUCGAUACUCUCUUUGCCGAAGCAAAUGUGUUAAGUGCCCCGCCUGGGGAGUACGGUCGCAAGGCUA